rnacentral:misc_RNA from 1 species
CCAGAGAUGGCGGGCCUCCGCGCCCCCGUCCCCAACCCUUUGUUGACCAAACCACUUUUGCCUCGGGGGCAGAGCGGCCUCCGCCGCCCCCGGUGGACCACUUAACACUGUCUCUGUACGUCAAGAGUCUUUGGUGAAUAAAUGA